GAUGAACGCUAGCUACAGGCUUAACACAUGCAAGUCGAGGGGCAGCGGGAUUGAAGCUUGCUUCAAUUGCCGGCGACCGGCGCACGGGUGAGUAACGCGUAUCCAACCUUCCGUUUACUCAGGGAUAGCCUUUCGAAAGAAAGAUUAAUACCUGAUAGUAUGGUGAGAUUGCAUGAUAACACCAUUAAAGAUUUAUUGGUAAACGAUGGGGAUGCGUUCCAUUAGGUAGUAGGCGGGGUAACGGCCCACCUAGCCUGCGAUGGAUAGGGGUUCUGAGAGGAAGGUCCCCCCACAUUGGAACUGAGACACGGUCCAAACUCCUACGGGAGGCAGCAGUGAGGAAUAUUGGUCAAUGGGCGAGAGCCUGAACCAGCCAAGUAGCGUGAAGGAUGACUGCCCUAUGGGUUGUAAACUUCUUUUAUAUGGGAAUAAAGUGGUCCACGUGUGGAUUUUUGUAUGUACCAUAUGAAUAAGGAUCGGCUAA
rnacentral:rRNA from 1 species